rnacentral:rRNA from 1 species
GCAGGCUGCAACCCGCCUGCAUGAAGUUGGAAUCGCUAGUAAUCGCGGAUCAGCAUGCCGCGGUGAAUACGUUCCCGGGCCCUGUACACACCGCCCGUCACACCAUGAGAGUCGGGAACACCCGAAGUCCGUAGCCUGACCGCAAGGGGGGCGCGGCCGAAGGUGGGCUCGAUAAUUGGGGUGAAGUCGUAACAAGGUACC